rnacentral:rRNA from 1 species
UACGGAGGGUGCAAACGUUGCUCGGAAUCAUUGGGCGUAAAGCGCACGUAGGCGGCCUGCUAAGUCGGGUGUGAAAGCCCUGGGCUCAACCCAGGAAGUGCACUCGAAACUGGUAGGCUUGAAUAUGGAAGAGGGUCGCGGAAUUCCCGGUGUAGAGGUGAAAUUCGUAGAUAUCGGGAGGAACACCAGUGGCGAAGGCGGCGACCUGGGCCAAUAUUGACGCUGAGGUGCGAAAGCGUGGGGAGCAAACAGG